UGUAUAUUAUUUACAUAAAUUCUUUGCAUUGUUGAUUGCAAUUGAAAUGUUUUUCAACCAACCCUAAUAUAGGUGCAAUCACCUUUAUAAAUAACUGUAUUUCCUAAUAUAUGUGAAGGUCUAAGAGUGAAGAGGGCAUGCAGCUCCACUUCAGACACACUCUGUGAGCCUCUGGAAGGUCACUACUGUACUGACCCAAUCAAAGAUGGCUGCCAAGGAGCUGCAGAACACACAAAGUGCUCACCAGGGCAGUACAUCAACGAGACAGGUACAGCAUCCACAGAUACUGUGUGUGGUGACUGUGUAGGCGACACAUACUCAGAUGGAUCAUUGACAUCCUGCAGACCACACACACGCAGACACAUGUUUGAAAUACGACACACAACAGAAGUCAGGCCAUACUGUAACAACAGAGGUACAGGUAUUCAUUAAAGCUUAUGUCAAUUUAUGUCCUACAGUAUCUGUGUCAGGUUUUUUUGUCUUUCUGAUCACAAUGUUUGUAUUUCUAUAGGAACAGAGGGAAUUAAAUGGCAGCAAUCAUGUGAUCAAAACGGUCUGAAUGGCUUUCAUGGCCAUAUAUUAGUAUUAAUAAUGUUGAUGGUGCUUAUGGAACAGACUGAUCCAGACAGGACUGCCAAAUGACCUGUUCUCCUUCUGGACCAACUGACCACAGUGCCACCUCUCUAUUACUGCUGGGCUACACCACCUCACUACUGCAGAGACUGCUGCCCUGAGAUGCCAGAGUGGGGACCUGUAUACCAUGAUAAGAACCCCACUUGCUGGAUGAGGAUGUUAUAACUUGAUCAUGUCUUAUCAAAACACAUAUUGUUUGUGGUAUUUCAGCACCUGACUUUCCCCAUGAAGAGGAUUAUGCUCUUUCUGAAGGAG
rnacentral:lncRNA from 1 species